rnacentral:rRNA from 1 species
AGUGAACGCUGGCGGUAGGCCUAACACAUGCAAGUCGAACGGCAGCACAGUAAGAGCUUGCCCUUACUGGUGGCGAGUGGCGGACGGGUGAGGAAUACAUCGGAAUCUACGUUUUCGAGGGGGAUAACGCAGGGAAACUUACGCUCAUACCGCAUACGACCUACGGGUUAAAGCAGGGUAUCUUCGUACUUUGCGCGAUUGAAUGUGCCGAUGUCGGAUGAGCUAGGUGGCGGGGUAAAGGCCCACCAAGUCGACGAUCGGUGGCUAGUCUGAGCGAAGGAUCAGACGAACUGGAAGAGAGACACGGUCACGACUACUACGCGAGGCAGCAGUGGGGAAUAUUCGACAAUGGGCGCAAGCCUGAUCCAGUCAUACCGCGUGGGUGGAGAAGGCCUUCGGGUUGCAAAGCGCUUCUGUUGGGAAAGAAAAGCAGCAGGUUAAAACACCGCUGUUCUGUCGGUACCAAACUGAUACGCACCGGCUAAUUUCGUG